rnacentral:rRNA from 1 species
CAGGACGAACGCUGGCGGCGUGCCUAAUACAUGCAAGUCGAGCGAAGAUAUUGGGGAGUUCUUCGGAACAAAGCAAUAUCUGAGCGGCGAACGGGUGAGUAACGCGUGGUAAUCUGCCCUAAAGCCUGGGAUAACAGCGGGAAAUCGCUGCUAAUACCGGAUGUGUUUGCUUUUUCACAUGAAGAGGCAAAUAAAGAUUAAUCGCUUUAGGAUGGGCCCGCGUCCCAUUAGCUAGUUGGUGAGGUAACGGCUCACCAAGGCGACGAUGGGUAGCCGGCCUGAGAGGGUGAACGGCCACACUGGGACUGAGACACAGCCCAGACUCCUACGGGAGGCGGCAGUAGGGAAUAUUGCGCAAUGAGGGGAAAAACCCCCUGACGCAGCGACGCCGCGUGAGCGAAGAAGGCCUUCGGGUCGUAAAGCUCUGUCCUAUGGGACGAGAGAGGACGGUACCAUAGGAGGAAGCCCCGACUAACUACGUGCCAGCCGCCGC